rnacentral:rRNA from 1 species
UAGGGAAUCUUCCACAAUGGACGAAAGUCUGAUGGAGCAACGCCGCGUGAGUGAAGAAGGGUUUCGGCUCGUAAAACUCUGUUGUUAAAGAAGAACAUAUCUGAGAGUAACUGUUCAGGUAUUGACGGUAUUUAACCAGAAAGCCACGGCUAACUACGUGCCAGCAGCCGCGGUAAUACGUAGGUGGCAAGCGUUGUCCGGAUUUAUUGGGCGUAAAGCGAGCGCAGGCGGUUUUUUAAGUCUGAUGUGAAAGCCUUCGGCUCAACCGAAGAAGGGCAUCGGAAACUGGGAAACUUGAGUGCAGAAGAGGACAGUGGAACUCCAUGUGUAGCGGUGAAAUGCGUAGAUAUAUGGAAGAACACCAGUGGCGAAGGCGGCUGUCUGGUCUGUAACUGACGCUGAGGCUCGAAAGUAUGGGUAGCAAACAGG